rnacentral:rRNA from 1 species
AUGGCUGCUACCAACCUAGAAUGCCUCCUGGCAAUGGUGGCAUGCGCCAAAGGUAUAGGCGUGCCACGUGGCUCUGGGAUGUUCAGACAGGCCUUGCGUGCCAUCGCAUUCCUCAGCCAGGACAAGAUCACCGCCAAAGUGGACUACUUGAAGAACACAUUCAGAUGGUCGGAUGCUGAGGUGGGCAUUGCUAUUUCUAAGGCUCCAACGUUGCUGACCAGGAAUAAGGAAUCGCUGCAGCGCAGUUCCGAGUUCCUCAUCUCUGAGGUGGGGUUGGAACCGGCAUCCAUUGCUCAAAGACCGAAUGUUCUCACUUACAGCCUAGUGGGCCGGCUGCGACCCCGACACCACAUUAUAAAGUUUCUCAAGGCAAAUGGAUUGCUCAAGCGGGACCUGAGCUACAAUACAAUUUUCAGUCUGGUCGAGAAGGUAUUUGUGGAGAAAUUCAUAUGCCCUUACAAGGAAGUUGCACAACACCUCGCUGAAGACUAUGCAGCUGCUUGCAGAGGGGAAGUGCCGACUAGACUCAGAUUUGCAUGA